UCGAGCGAGUCUGCCUUGAAGAUCGGAGUGCUUGCACUCUGUGAAACAAGAUACAGGCUAGCGGCGGACGGGUGAGUAACACGUGGGUAACCUGCCCAAGAGAUCGGGAUAACACCUGGAAACAGAUGCUAAUACCGGAUAACAACAGAUGAUGCCUAUCAACUGUUUAAAAGAUGGUUCUGCUAUCACUCUUGGAUGGACCUGCGGUGCAUUAGCUAGUUGGUAGGGUAACGGCCUACCAAGGCGAUGAUGCAUAGCCGAGUUGAGAGACUGAUCGGCCACAUUGGGACUGAGACACGGCCCAAACUCCUACGGGAGGCAGCAGUAGGGAAUCUUCCACAAUGGACGCAAGUCUGAUGGAGCAACGCCGCGUGAGUGAAGAAGGGUUUCGGCUCGUAAAGCUCUGUUGUUGGUGAAGAAGGACAGGGGUAGUAACUGACCUUUGUUUGACGGUAAUCAAUUAGAAAGUCACGGCUAACUACGUGCCAGCAGCCGCGGUAAUACGUAGGUGGCAAGCGUUGUCCGGAUUUAUUGGGCGUAAAGCGAGUGCAGGCGGCUCCAUAAGUCUGAUGUGAAAGCCUUCGGCUCAACCGGAGAAUUGCAUCAGAAACUGUCGAGCUUGAGUACAGAAGAGGAGAGUGGAACUCCAUGUGUAGCGGUGAAAUGCGUAGAUAUAUGGAAGAACACCGGUGGCGAAGGCGGCUCUCUGGUCUGUUACUGACGCUGAGGCUCGAAAGCAUGGGUAGCGAACAGGAUUAGAUACCCUGGUAGUCCAUGCCG
rnacentral:rRNA from 1 species